rnacentral:lncRNA from 1 species
UCAUAUGAUUCAGUUCUUUUAUCAUAUAUCCUGACUAAAUGGAGGUCAUGAAAAAUUCGUCCUACUCCAUCAUCUGUCAUAUGCAAGAAUGGUUUGAUUUGAGUUUAUUUAUAAAUUUUUAUGAAAUUUUUUUUUUCAAUAUUCACACUUGCUUCGGCUAAAGACUUUCUAAACUCAAUCUCAUGAAUCAUAUAGGAUUUCUAUUUUUCUACUA